rnacentral:lncRNA from 1 species
AUGGCGCCGGUGUGUCUGGUGUGCCGCUUGGCUCUGCUCAGUUUUAUUUGUUUUAUGCUGAUUUUAACAUCUGUUACAAGGACCAUCGACUCACUGCUGGUGUAUAAUUGUCAAGAAUUGCUAAAAAUAAAAGAAACGGUGCAAUCGUGUACCAUUCGUGAUGCAAACAACAAGUCAGGUUCAUUCUACCUGGCCGACCUGCCUGCGCACCUCCUCAGGGUGAAUGCGCCGCUGCCCAGGAAGCGUAAACGCCGAGGAGUCCGAUCCGGUCGGCUCGUGAAGCUGAAAGCCUGGUUGGCUCUUUCUCCCACCGCGGUGUGGUCCUCGGAACUUCCACGGGAUUACAGAGACUGUUUUUUCCGCUAUGUCUCACGACGCACACUCGCUCCAGUUGGCGCUUGGUUGGUGCCCAUUAUCGGACAACGGGAGGAUCUCUGCGAGCUGCGCCCUCGCCGCUCUUCUUUCCGGGUUUCUGAUGGUGUGUCCCCGGCUAACCUCAGGCCGCUGAGCCGGGUAGCUCAGGCGGCUACUACAGCUUCUACGAGGUGCGCACUCGUGAACGCGAGGUCUGUGGCGAAUAAAACUUUCAUCCUGCAGGAUGUACUGUUUUUAACAGAGACUUGGAUCAACAGCGGUGAGUCUACUGCUUUCUCAGAGUUAUUACCUCCAGACUGUACUUUUAUCAACGUACCGAGAUCCACUGGUCGUGGCGGAGGUAUAGCUACUAUUUUAAAGAACUGCUUUUAUCACAAAGUGGUAUCUGAGAGGUCUUUUUCUUCAUUUGAACUGAGCUGUUUUGAGCUGCGACAGGCUGACCCAGUACUGUGCGCUGUCAUUUACAGACCACCGAAGCACAACAAGGAUUUUAUUAGAGACUUUUAUGAAUUUGUUGCUUGUGUGCUCACGUGUUAUGACAGGGUUUUAAUUGUCGGAGAUUUUAAUGUGCAUGUAUGUUGUCCUUCUAAACCCAUGGCCAGAGAGUUUUUGGACUUGGUGGAAGCUUUUAAUCUGACGCAACAUGUCACUGGCCCCACACAAGUGCACGGGCACACGCUAGACAUUGUGUUGUCUUGUGGUUUUCCUGUGAACAAUGCCGUUGUUGGAGAUGCCGUGUUUUCUGACCACAGCCCUGUCAUGUUUGAUCUUAUUUUGGACUUGGGGGUGAAGCUGUCUUGCGUGCGUCAUGGUCGUGUUAUUAAGCCCGACACGGCCGCUGCUUUUUCUCCUCUUUUUACUGCAUCGUUUCUGGAUCAUCUAAACUCCGCUGCAUCUAUGGACACCGAGCAAUUGAUGAACUCUUUCACUUCCACCUGCUCUGAAGUCUUGGACAGUGUUGCUCCCCUCAGAGCCAUAUGUCCUAAGCCAAAGCAGGAACCGUGGCUCAAUGACACUACGCGCACAGCUCGGCGUGAGUGUCUGAGGGCAGAGCGGAGGUGGAAGAAGGACCACUUGGAGGUCUCGCACCAGAUUCUUAGAGAGUGCUGGAGAAACUAUCAAAGUGCUGUUAAAGCUGAAAAAACUCAAUAUUUCUCUAACUUGAUCUCGAAUAAUGUCAGUAAGCCUCGAGUUCUUUUUAAAACGAUUGGUUCUGUUUUUAAUCCGAGUCCGUCCACUUCAUUGGAGAUGACAAGUGGAACGUGUGAAAAAUUCCUCUCCUUUUUUAAUGAGAAGGUUGCUGCUAUUAGGGCCAACAUAUCUCCCUUUUCAGUGUGGAGUUGUGUAUCCACUCAAUGCUUAGCUGUUUUCUGUCAGUUUGAGUCUGUGUCAUUGUCUGUGCUCACAGGGAUAGUUAAAAAACUUAAACCCUCCUCCUGUCCCACAGACCCGGGCCCUCCUCGCUUUUUUAAAGAGGUUUGGGACACCAUUGGCUCUUCUGUUAGGGAGAUCAUCAACAGCAGCUUGGCUACUGGCAUAGUGCCAGCUUGUUGUAAGAAAGCUGUAGUUGAGCCUUUGAUUACAAAACCUGGCCUUGACCCUGCAAAUUUGGCGAAUUAUCGCCCAAUUUCCAAACUACCAUUGGUAUCGAAAAUUUUAGAGAAAUGCGUUUUUGCACAGUUGCAACCUUUUUUAGAUGAAAAUGGCACUUUAGACCCAUAUCAGUCAGGCUACAAAGCUUUGCACAGUACUGAAUCUGCACUUUUAAAGGUUUUUAAUGACUGA